ACGCGAGCUGGGUUCAGAACGUCGUGAGACAGUUCGGUCCCUAUCCGGCGCGGGCGUAGGAUAUUUGAGAGGAGCUGUCCUUAGUACGAGAGGACCGGGAUGGACUGACCUCUGUUGGACCUGUUGGAGAUCAACUCCAGUGCAGGGUAGGCAUGUCGGGACUGGAUAAACGCUGAAGGCAUCUAAGCGUGAAGCCACCCUCAAGAUGAGAUAUCCCAUCGCAAGAGUAAGACCCCUUGAAGACUACGAGGUAGAUAGGGCUAAGCUGUAAGUGCUGUAAAGCAUUCAGGUGAUAGUUACUAAUAGGUCGAGGGUUUGACCA
rnacentral:rRNA from 1 species